AAGACGAUACUUUCAGGGAUCAUUUCUAUAGUUUGUUACCAGAGAAGUUUCUCUGAACGUGUAGAGCACCGAAAAUAAAAU
ensembl:snoRNA U3 Small nucleolar RNA U3